rnacentral:rRNA from 1 species
GGCCGCGGGAAUUCGAUUCAGGCCUAACACAUGCAAGUCGAACGGCAGCACGGACUUCGGUCUGGUGGCGAGUGGCGAACGGGUGAGUAAUGUAUCGGAACGUGCCCAGUAGCGGGGGAUAACUACGCGAAAGCGUAGCUAAUACCGCAUACGCCCUACGGGGGAAAGCAGGGGAUCGCAAGACCUUGCACUAUUGGAGCGGCCGAUAUCGGAUUAGCUAGUUGGUGGGGUAACGGCUCACCAAGGCGACGAUCCGUAGCUGGUUUGAGAGGACGACCAGCCACACUGGGACUGAGACACGGCCCAGACUCCUACGGGAGGCAGCAGUGGGGAAUUUUGGACAAUGGGGGAAACCCUGAUCCAGCCAUGCCGCGUGUGCGAUGAAGGCCUUCGGG